rnacentral:rRNA from 1 species
UGGGGAAUAUUGCACAAUGGGCGAAAGCCUGAUGCAGCGACGCCGCGUGAGGGAUGACGGCCUUCGGGUUGUAAACCUCUUUCAGCAGGGAAGAAGCGAAAGUGACGGUACCUGCAGAAGAAGCGCCGGCUAACUACGUGCCAGCAGCCGCGGUAAUACGUAGGGCGCAAGCGUUGUCCGGAAUUAUUGGGCGUAAAGAGCUCGUAGGCGGUUAGUCGCGUCUGCUGUGAAAACUCGAGGCUCAACCUCGGGCUUGCAGUGGGUACGGGCUGACUAGAGUGCGGUAGGGGGUGACUGGAAUUCCUGGUGUNNCUGGAAUGCGCAGAUAUCAGGAGGAACACCGAUGGCGAAGGCAGGUCACUGGGCCGCAACUGACGCUGAGGAGCGAAAGCAUGGGGAGCGAACAGGAUUAGAUAGCCCUGGUAGUCCAUGCCGUAAACGUUGGGCGCUAGGUGUGGGGUCCAUUCCACGGAUUCCGUGCCGCAGCAAACGCAUUAAGUGCCCCGCCUGGGGAGCACGGCCGCAAGGCUAAAACUCAAAGGAAUUGNCGGGGUCAUAGCUGUUUCCU